rnacentral:rRNA from 1 species
AGCGAACGCUGGCGGCAGGCUUAACACAUGCAAGUCGAGGGGAGCGGCAGACGGGUGAGUAACGCGUGGGAACGCACAUUUUGGUUCGGAACAACACAGGGAAACUUGUGCUAAUACGGGAUACUGAAAGAUCGGCGCGCCUCAGAUUAGCUAGUUGGUAGGGUAAUGGCCUAACAAGGCGACGAUCAGUAGCUGGUCUGAGAGGAUGAUCAGCCACAUUGGGACGGAGAAACGGCCCAAACUCCUACGGGAGGCAGCAGUGGGGAAUAUUGGACAAUCGGGGCAACCCUGAUCCAGCCAUGCUGGGUGAGUGAUUAAGGCCCUAGGGUUGUAAAGCACUUUUGUGCGGUAAGCGGUACCACAAGAAUAAGCCCCGGCUAACUUCGUGCCAGCCGCCGCGGUAAUAC